GGGGGGAAACACCUCUCAGUCCCUGUUUUGCACGGGCCGCGCGCGGGUGAGUAAAACCACCCUGGAACAGGGAAAAGUCGAACCCACCUGGCCGCCACUCGGUGGCGAGAACAUCUUUUACGCGUCCAAAGGCGAGGUAGACCUCAGCUCACCACAGUCCCGCGGCCCUAACCAAAAUCCAAGUAUUUGCUGAGGCGCGUUGGCAGGUUAGGUUAAAUACCGUUUGCAGUCUGGUGGGGCUUCUCGCUUUACUAAGUUAGCACAUUUCUAAAUUUUAAUUUCUGUAUUCUCCACUACUCUGACAGAUACAGAAAGACGUCGUAAUAAGUAAAAUUUAUUUAGGCGGCGCGCUAAGUACUUUAACGUCCACACAUUCACUUCAUGAUAUAGGUACUCUGGUUUCCCCCAUCUUACAGCUAGAUUACCGACGUUAGUGAGGCAGAGAGGAACUUUGCUCAGAAUCAGAGCUAGCGAAACAGGGAUUUGAAGCCAGAGCCAGUUUUCAUGCUGCCUGUCUUUUCUCUUUCUUAGUAUCUUAUCCUCUAAAGUGCGGAGACAGACAUGUUCAGAAAUGAUUUUUUUUAAACAUAAAAAUCAUGGUGUAUGGCAGUUGAGUAUUUUCCCAUGUUAUUAUACUGAAUACAUGGGUCAUUUCUUUGCAUUAUUUUCCUUCAGAAUGUACCAUCCUUUAUUCUGUUAAUGCUAAUUUUUUUAUAUCUUUGAUAUUAUCGUUACCACCCUUAAUCACACAUCUAUACUCGUUUAUAAUUAUGACUUUAGGGUCAAUAUCAAUAACGACUGCUGGAUCAAAGAAUAGGAACAUGAUACAUACUGACAAAUUUCUUCCCAGAAUGGUUUACUAGUUCCACAAUGGUAUUUAAGGUAUCCAUUUCACUGAUCCUCAUCCUUAGGUAUUGUUUAAACAUCAUAAAUGUACUGUAGACUAACAAUAUCAUUGGAAAGCUUGGUAGUUUUCUUUAAUAUUUUGAGAUACAUAAUUAAACAUGAAUUUCACUUUUCAGCCUUUCUUUUUAAGUGUCUUUGAACUACUUAUAGCCCCUUAUUUAGGGGCUAUAUUGAAGUAUAAAUAAAGGUGUAAGUUGAAUGAAUCUACAUGUAUCAAGUGCCUACUGUGGACUUGAUUACUUUAUAAUUGGGUAAGUUACUUUAUUAAACUUUUCUAGAGAGUCAGACUGUGAUCUUUUUUUCUGUUCAAAAAUUUUGCUCCUUUAUAGGGUCACUCUAAAAUUCCGGUUCAACUUAUUACUGAUAGCCAGUGCAUCUUAGUAAUAAAAUGUCUUGUUCUUUCAAAUUAGACUUUACAACAUCCAAGACUUCUUUCCCAUGUGAUUUUUCUUUGCAGUGGCAAUUAUAAUAAGCUAAUCAGACAUAAAGCAAUUUUUAAUUUAUUUUUUGGCCACACCCACAGCAUGUAGAAGUUCCUGGGUCAGGGAUCAAAACUGCACUACUGCAAUAACCCAAACUGCUGCAGUGGCAAUGCCAGACCUUAUCCAGCUGCAUAAGAGAACUACAAUAGGCAAUUUACUUUGUUUUUAUUUUAUUUAUCUAUCUAUCUAUAUUUUUUAGGGCCACACCUGCAGCAUAUGGAGGUUCCCAGUCUAGGGGCUGACUCAAAGCUGUAGCUGCCUGCCUACACCACAGCCACAGCAGUGCUGGAUCUGAGCCACAUCUCAUGGUUCCUAGUCAGGUUCAUUAAACUCUGAGCCACAAAGAGAACUCCAACAGUAGGGAAUUUAAAUUUUUAUAUUGCUCUUAUACUCAGAAAAGGAAAAAGUAAAAAUAAAUUUCUGCUAUAAGAAAAUUCUAUAAAAUCCACACCUAGAAGAAGAUAAAGUUGCCUUUGGUAUAGACCUCAUGUAAUGAAAUAAAAUUUUUAUUCCAUUAAAUGUUUUCUCUUUAAACAUAUGGUCUAGUAUCCACACCAACAUUCAUACAGAGCUUGAAGUUUUUUUCCAACUUUUUAUUAAAAGGUUUGAACAUCCUUGUAGGGAUAUAGGAUAUCCACAAUCAAUCCUGGUUCUGAAAUCAGCUGAAAUCUACUAGAAUUUCAGUGAGCAAGGCUAAUUUGGUAUAUCUCAAACCCCAAUCCUCAACUCUGAAACACUUUUCUUCUUCAAAAGUUUAAGAGAAGAUUACAUUGGGUAGAAACUGCCUAAUAAAUGUCUUUGUACAAUGCUUAAUACAAAAAAGUUUUAUGAAUUUAUGAAUGUGGCAAAACCAGCCAAACCAAUUAGUUUUAUUUGCAUUAUAUAACAACCUAAAGUGACAAUGAUAUGAAAUCUAAGCUAUGAGAUAACCUGACAGGAAACUGAGGUCCAAAGAGGUAUAUUGCCUUCCCUUAGGUUCUAGACCUACACUCUAAUACCAUAGCCAUGAGACAUUAUUUGGCUAUUGAGCACUUCAAAUGUGGCUCACUUGAAAAGACAUGUGCUGAAGGGUAAAAUACACAUCAGAUUUUGAAGGCUUAAUGUGGAAACAAGAACAUAAACAAUCUCAAUUUUUUUUUUUUUUUUUUUUUUUUUUUUUUUGCUUUUUAGGGCCAUACCUGCAGCAUAUGGAGGUUCCCAGGCUAGGGGUCAGAUUGGAGGUACAGCUGCCGGCCACACCCACACCCACAGCAACUCAAGACCAGAGCUGAGACUGUGACCUACACCGCAGCUUAUGGCAGCACCAGAUCCUUAACCCACUGAGCAAGGCCAGGGAUUGAACCUAAUAGUUCUCAUGGAUGCUAGUCAGAUUGCUUAACCACUGAGCCAUGAUGGGAACUCCAAACUAUCUCAACUUUUAAAAGUUGAUUACAUGUUAAAUUAUAUUUUGGAAAUAAUGGGCUAAAAAUUCUAUCAAUCUAAGUUUCUUCUUACUUUUAUAAUGUGGCCACUAGAAAAUUUUAAAUUACAUAUGUGGCAUGUGCUAUAUUUCUACUAGACAGUGCUCCUCCAGACUGUUAGCUGUGGAGAGCCAGUACAACUAAAUGUGUGAAUUUAUAAAUGCCAUAAUUAGCACGUGCCAGGGGUACAUUUUCAAACUAAAGAUAAAAAUAGUUGAUAAUGCAUCCAACUCUAAAGGGCUCAUAAGCAUCAAACUACAAUAUCCAAUAACUUUAAUGAAUAUUUAUUAAAUUAGCAAAUAAGUGUAAGGCACUGUACUAAAUGUGAUGGCAGAUACAAUUAUUUAGAUGCUUUUUCUGACAUCCAAAGGCUUACAAUCUAGUGAAGGAGACGUCAAACAUGAAAAAUAAUGUAUAAUACAGGGCAUAUACUUAGAUAUAAAGGCUGGAAUGGUUUCUGGGUUUUUUUGUUGCUGUUGUAAUUUUUAAUGACAGUUGAUGGGAAAGGGAAAUUUCCAACUGGUGAGGAUCUGGAAAGUCCUCAGGGAAGACAAUAAUUUCAGUAGACUAGGAUUUAUCUCUUUGCUUUCACUUAAUUUUCUUUUCUCUUUUUUUGUCUUCAGUCUUUUGUCUUUUUAGGGCCCCACCCUUGGCAUAUGGAGGUUCUCAGGCUUGGAGUCUAAUCGGAGCUACACCUGCUGACCUAUGCCACAGCCACAGCAAUGCCAGAUCCUUAACCCACUGAGCAAGGCCAGGGAUAGAACCCGAAACCUCAUGGUUCCUAGUUGGGUUUGUUUCCGCUGCGCCAUGAUGGGAACUCCACUUUCACUUAAUUUUCAAAAGUAAUGCAGCACUAGGCAAAAAAUUUAAAAUGAGUCCUGAUCCCCUCAGACUCCACCAACAAACUGCAGAAAAUGCUUUUUAUAUUGGUACAGGAAUUUGAAAAGGUGGUGUUGACUACAUGAAUCCCAGGAGUUAGGCCUACUUAAUUCUGAUGACCCUGAACAUAUACCAGAUUUUAACUGCUGAGUGCCAUUAUUUGUGUGGCAUGAUUGUGUCAGGAAGAGGACAGAUGAAUACUUACCCACUACCCCUUGGAGCCAUUUCGGUCCCUCCCUGUCAAGCUGCCUCCUGUGAUUUGAAGUAUGCUCUCCUAACACAGGAUUGGCACUUCCAAACCUGAGUUUUCCCCUAUCUCUCAAAGCAUCAAGGUUCAUAUUCUACCUUUUGUGGCAUUUAUAGUAUUAUUUUUACAGUCAAUUUUACAUUUCAAAAUACCCCCUCCUUCCUACAACCUAUCCCUAUGUAUCCCUAUCUCUGGGCGUAAUAAUGCCUGUAAAAGGAACAAUUAAGACUGCCUUCUAGGGAGUUCUCAUUCUGGCUCAGCGGUUUCAGUGGUAACGAACCUCAUGGACUAGUAUCCAUGAGGACAUGAGUUUGAUCUCUGGCCUUGCUCAGUGGCUUAAGGACCUGACGUCACGGUGAGCUGUAGUGUAGGUCACAGAUGCAGCUUGGAUCUGGCAUUGAUGUGGCUGUGGUGGAGGCCAGCAGCUACAGUUCCGAUUUAACCCCUAGUCUGGGAACUUCUACAUGCCGUGGGUACAGCCCUAAAAAGAAAAAAAAAACAAAGAACUGCCUUCUAUACCUCAAGAAAUGUUCCUUUCCCAGAUUUUCAGUAAAAAGGAACUCAGUACAAUACAAUACAGAAUAUGUAAUUCAAGAAAGGACACUAAAGGAUUUUUGAGUGGGAGUUCGAGAUGUUCAAAAUGCAGUUAUUACUUUCCUAUUUAACCCCCACUUUGUGUGUGUGUGUGUGUGUGUGUGUGUGUGUGGUCAUGAAGUAGAACCUCCAAUGGUAAGAUAUGAACAACUACAACUUUAUGGAACCAAUGGAUCAAAGAGAUACUGUCUGGAUAAAAGCUGUUUGACCAUGAAAUCCUAGGUGGUCUCAUUAUCCUAGCACCAAAAAUUAAGCAUUUAAUGUUUGUCAUAUUAUUUCUAAGACAUAAUGGAAUAAACCUCUCAAACCUCGCUUGCAUGUUAAUAAGUAGUUGGUCUUAAGUUCAGAAACUGUAAAUUAACAGAUUAGAAACUGAAAAUAUAUUCACCUUCCUGGUGGAAAUAUUAAUGAUUAGAAAAGUCACUCUUAUAAUCUAAUACCAUAUUCCUUGUAUAAUAUGGCCAAUGUUUUUGUCUAAAAAUUUUUUAAAAGUUUAACAGCCUUUAAAUAAAUAAAACAGUCCACCUUAUUUCCUAUGUUAACUAUAGAGACAAUGAUUUGCUUUCAUAAAAAAAAAUUGCAACUAUAUUCAGAUGUUUAAAUAUAGCUUUCAACUGAUUUCAAUAACUUCUGAAAAUAUUUUGGCAGGUCUUUGCAAUCAGUCUUAUUACCUCUCAGUAACUGUUUUCUAAAAUAUAAAUACAAAAGCACUUUUUUUGUGUGGUCUUUUCUAGGGCCACACCCGCAGCAUAUGGAGAUUCCCAGGCUAGGGGUCCAAUCUCAGCUACAGCUGCCGGCCUACGCUAGAGCCACAGCAACAUUGGAUCUGAACCAUGUCUGCAGCCUACACCACAGCUCAUGGCAACAAUGGAUCUCCACUGAGCGAGGCCAGGGAUCAAACCCUCAACCUCAUGGUUCUUAGUCGGAUUCGUUAACCACUGAGCCACAACGGGAACUUCAAAACAAAAGCAUUUUAACAUGGUACCUAUAAACCACCAUGCAACUAGGGUUGGUUCAGAAUUGUGAAGAUCACUAAUAAUAAUACUCCAAUUCCAAUUCUAGUAAGGUUGCCACCAAAUAAUUAAAAUCAACUUUAAUCUUUUUUCGUUUUUUUGGCCACCCUGUGGCAUAUGGGGUUCCUGGGCCAGGGAUCGAGCCAAGAUGCAGUUGCUACGUAAGCCACAACUGCAGCAACACCAGAUCCUUAACACACUGCACAGGCUGGGAAGCAAACCUGUGUCCCAGCACUUUCAAGACAUUGCCCAUCCCGUGUACCACAGCGGGAAUUCCCUAAACUUCACUUUUAAAAAGAACUUUUUUGUCAAUCUGAUUCCAGCU
rnacentral:lncRNA from 1 species